rnacentral:lncRNA from 1 species
GCCUCGAAGCAGUGUUUGUUUGCCUUCGGAGCCUCGUCCCACAAUAUCAGUGAGGUCUUCUUUACCAGUUCAGCCAAAUGUGAGCCUUGUUUUAUUUCACAUGUUGGUUCUUCCGUGAUAUUUAUUGGAAUGUGGAAUCUUGAGUGUGCUGUUCUUCCACCUUGGAGCAGCAAAGCUGCAAUGCCAGAUGAUGCUACCGCAAGCACUAUCUUUCCCUCUGAUCGUAGUUUCGUUGUAAUUGCUUUCCAUUGAUAUGUUUUGCCUGUGCCACCAUAGCCUUCUACAAAUAUCUGUUUUCCAUGUUCUCUCUCAGCUGACUCUAUUAUUGCAUCAAAGGCCAUUUUCUGGUCAUGGUUAAGAUUGCUUAUUAUGGUUUUGUGCUCACCUUUAGUGUUUCCAUGUCGUAGCUAAGUUCUUCAUUUAUCAUUCUGUUCCCAAGUUGUUCAAGUUCUGUAGCAUUUGGUAGUUCUAUGUCUGGAUAGUCCUUUAGUGUCUUUCCUGCUUGCCUCAUUAGUUUCUCUAUCUCGAUCAGAGCAUAUGCUUUUUUUUGUGAAUCAGUGAGCUGCAGCAUAGGAAAGUUUAGGAUAAUUCUUCUUUUGUACUGGAUAUCUUCAGAUAGUGCCUCCCAUGUUGAAUCCCACAACAUCUUUGGGCUGGUAACCUCACAAUGGCAUAAAAUUGUGCUGAAUAGCUGUCGUAAUUGUGUCCCGGAUCCCCAUGUUGAUGCUUCAUUGAUGCAUUCAAUCCACUCACUAUCAUCAUCAAGAAAACCAAGCGUCUGGCAUGCUGAUUUGUAUGUUGGGUGAACAACUCCAUUAACUGUUCUAAUAUCCUCAAAUGAUGUGCAUCCUUUCUUUGUGUUUAGAAGCAUUCUCAUAUAAUACCGCUCUCCACUUGCAGGUGUGCAUAGUAGAUUCAACCAAUAGCAAAGCCUCUUUUCCGCUCCUCCCAAGUUUUGGUGUCGCUUUUCCAUACAAAUUUUGAUGGCAAUUCUGCAUAGGUUAAUUCUUUUCCCACCUCAUGUAUUUUGUUUGCCUCCAUCCACUCAGUGAACUUAGUACUUGCGGUUCCUGGCUUUCUUACUAUCUUCUCGAUGUCAGUUGAGUCUGGAAAAAUAACUUGUUCAUUUUCAAUGUGGAAUGGCAGUCUCUCUACUAGUGGAUCACGAUGGUGUAGUAGAUCAAACUGGAAUAUCCGCCAGCAUGCUUCAGUUGUUGAUAUGUAUCUCAUCUCUAGGUAUUUCUUGAUUUCAUCAUAGUCGUUUGCCGCGUCUCUUUCCUUUAGUAAGGCUGUUACUUGGUCGUCGUCUUUAUGGAUGUACUUAAAUAGGUACUCCCUCCUUCCCAAAAUAUAAGGCACGAUUGACUUUUUACGGUCUUUGAUGCACAACUUUGACCACUAAUAUAUAUCAAAGUAUAUGGAUUGAACAUGUAUAAAUGACAUCGCCGUAUUUGUCUUGCAAAGCAAUUUUAUUUCAUAUGUAUGUAUACUAAUUUUAUAGACAUAUAAUACAUAAAAAUUAUAGUCAAAGUUGUGCAACGAAGACCAGAAAAGUCAAACCGUGCCUUAUAUUUUGGGAAGGAGGGAGUACUUGAUUGACCUGGACCUGUUGCACCACUCGACAUUUAUGUGAGCUCGGAAUUUGACCAAAAGGUUUCGGUUAUAUGGCACGACAAAUCUGUUGUCGAGCAUUGCUCCUCCCUUUUUGAUCGUCCUUCCAUUGUCGCGCCUUCUAUAUACUGGAAAGCCAUCCUCAUCGAUUGUGGCAUCGACAUUAUAUCAUUUUGGGAAGUGUUUAGUGCAUCUAUUGUCCAUCAUGCAUGGUGAUUUUGUAUUUGCCUCUCCGCAAGGCCCGUGCAUCAUGAAGUUUUCAACAGCUGCAUAUCCGUCAGGAUCGACAUCUUUGUCUGGGAUCUCCGCACUGAUUAUUUGAUCGAUUUCUGAUGGUCCUUUGCACUUGUAAUUCUCCUUGAGGAAUACCAAUAUGUGCGCAUGCGGGAGUCCCCUCUUCUGGACUCUAUUGUGUAGAUAACUGCAUUGAUUAAAAGUUUGAUUUUGUUAGAUUUCUGAAGAAUUUUAGUAAAUAGACAAAGGCUAUGGUGUGCUAAAAAAUUUAAACUUUAGGUUCUAUUAGUUAGCAAUGAGAAGUUGGCUGAUCUUACUUGAUAUAGUUUCUCCAAAGUGUUUUUUCACAACGAUGUCUCUCAUUAGCUCCUUCAGUUUUAUCAUGAAUACUCGGUCAAUAAUAUCUGGCGGGUCGGCUGGAUUUAGGCCUCCUCCUGGUUCAUCUAGCAUGUAUUGGAUCUCGGGCCACUUCGUGUUGCAUGUGAAUGUUAUAAACAGGUCUGGAUAUCCAGCCCAACAGCAUAUUGCAAAAGCGUCUUGCAAGUUCUGUGCCUUGUUUCUUCUGCCUCCUGUAUAAGAUGAAGAUACAAUUAUCCUCUUUCCAACCUGCUCUGUUCUGGUGUCCCCUCGCUCAAUCGCGUCCUGCAGUCCACUGUAAAGUUCACUCCGUAGCUUCCCUUGAUUAUUCCUGAUCCAAUUUAGUCUGUUUGCUCAAUGCAUGUGUAAACAUCUACCCAAAAUUGCAGAGACAGAUGUCUAGACGUUAGCAGCGACAUUCCUUGGUCGGGUCUUUGCUGUAGGUAGUAUGCGUAGUAGUCCAGCAUAGUUACAUAUUUCCUGCUUUUGUCAUCUUCUUUUGUUCGGUUGUAAGGUAUUUCAAGCUUGAAGCCGUCUUCUCCGUAUGGAAACAACAAUGGGUAUUGCAUCGACAUUAAUUUUGGAUGGGUUUCCGAUAUUCUGUGAGGCACCAUAUUUUUGUACUCGACAACGAUAUCUCGUCCUUCGCUCUCUCCAGUUAGGUCUCUUACAACCAAUGCUGCAACUUCCGAUGCAGAUGGAAGGUUGUGUGUUCCGUUCCUUUUCCCAAGUAUUCUAAGUGUGUAAUCAUGGUAGUCUUCUUCUUUGAAUCUAUCUCUUGCCAUUCUGAAAGAUUUUGCGAGGACGUUGUUCUCAUCAAGCAUUUUUUUGUAGUUCUUUGACAAUGGCAGGGUCCACAGUUGAUUUAUUAUCAUUGCAUCUUGAAGCAUCUAUCCUGUUUUGCACUUCUGUCUGAUAGAUAUAUAGCUGGGCAAAUCGAGGUUUGUUACCUUCUUCAAGUAGAAGAGUUCCAAUAUGGUGAUAGUUCUGGCCAUGCAGUCUAAAAACAUAUGGUCCUUUGCCUUUGUUUAUUUCUUUGUCAACAGUUCCACCCAUUGAUGUGAAUGAGAACAUUGAGUUGUAUGACCUGAUAUUUUCUCUGAAGUUUGUUGCAUCACUUCCUUCACCUGUUAAUAGUCCUGCGAGGUAAGGUGGAGGAUGUGCCAUCUUUGGUAGGUCAAUCUUACCUUGUUUACAGCAAAUUCCGAAAGAAGGUUUUUUGGUUCCUCUAUGAGAAUUUAAUCUUUUUUCACACCAUAGUAUUGCAUUGCAAUGUUCACAUCUAUAUGUUGGCUUUCCAAAGUUCCAUAUUUUGCUAUAAUAACUCUCGGACGUAGUGCUGCUGUUUGUUUCUUUGAUGUUGCUUCCAAGGUCAUUGUCGCUCCUACUUGUUCUUGCAUGCUUCACAUUUGUUCUUUCUUUGAUUUAUUCCUUUCUCUUCCGUGAAGCAUCUUCUUCUUUUUUAUUGGUUGUUUCCUGUGUAUUCCUGCAUCUCUUACUCCUUUUUUCUUGGAGUUGUUGUUUCCUCCUGAUAAUAGCUUCUCUAGCUUCUUUUGUAAGUUAGCCUGCGGAUUUUGACGUGUACUGUCCCUUCAUUUCUGCAUUGGAUAUUCUUUUAGCAAUAUAGUAUCAUAUAUUUAAAUUCUACUUUAUGUACAAUGUUCUCAAGAGAUUAACAAUAUAUGCAGUAAAUAAGAGAUUCUUGCUGCAUGUAGAAACAACCUAUAAUACUUAUCAUCAUGCUUUCAGGAUUAUUGUGUUGUGUGGUUGGAGCUGCAGUGGAUGGCAUUAUUGCUGUGACAGUGUGCUUGUUUCUCAGUGAACGACAGUUGCUCCAUGGGAAUUAGUACGGCGAAGUACUCUCUAAAAUCAUUUUUAGCACUAUACGUAAAAUUAUUAGGUUCUGCAAUAUUUCAAAGGGCAAUAUUUCAAAUAUAUAUGUUAGAAAAGUACCAAAAAAUAGUAAGCAUUACAUUAAAGAUAGAAAAAGGUCAACAAUAUACCUGAUUGUGUUUUCUUUUUCUUUUUAAUUUUUGUAAAGCUUCACACGCCUGAGCCAAUUAUUGUCGUAAUUGUAUCUUUGCUGCAAAUCAAAUCCUGUAGCGAUUCUGGAUUUUUUUGUAGCAAAUUAUUAAAGCAUAUCUUUGUAUUGCUGCCAUGACUUUAUCAGCCUGUGUGUCAGUUUUAGUUCACAACAGAAGCUGGUACUAUUUUCUCAAAGAAAAUAGAGUUUAUGUCAAGAGCCAAGGCAAGACGUGCGAGGAUAGUUUAUUUCAGUCAGUAUUAUAAUUAUAUGCCUAAAUGUAAAACAAUGUAAUAAUGAAUAAAAAAAUAUGAGGUUGCUUUGAAUUGAUGAUAAUAGUAGUUUUCCACGGAGAGCAUUUACCUUCUAAUCUGAAGUCUGGC